CAUCCACCUCCAUAACUUUAUACGGGCCAUUCCAUUGAUCUUCCAGUUUAUGCCCUUUCUUUGUUUUCUGUAGCAUGUUACGAAGCAAGACAGUAUCUCCAUCCUUGAAUUGGCAUACAGGAAAUAAGUCCUAAAUGAAAACAUCAAAGAUUUGUAAAAUAUGAUUGUCAUUUUAAAAUUUUCAUGUUAUUACUGUUGCACUUGUUAAUAUAUUUUUAUUACAUUUAUAACAUUCUUCAAUUUGGUUAUUUUGUAAUAGAUUUAUAGUUUACCAUUACAACUGUGUCUUUGUAACAA